UCGUGAGUCGCCGCCAAGCAGGGGCGACUACGGCGGACUCCGGUCUGACCCAGGAAGGGUACGACGGGGUUUCACCAGAAUAAGGAA
rfam:Pseudomonas alcaligenes NBRC 14159 DNA, contig: PA6035.